ensembl:snoRNA
GGUGAGGUCUAGCAUGAUAGGAGCUGUAGCUGUACAAUGUUGGAAAUGCCUCAUAAAGUAAACCUCUGGUCUCUUUUUCCUCAUGAGACUAUUAGGUCUGUGGGAAGAAACUACAGGACAAUU